rnacentral:rRNA from 1 species
GACGAACGCUGGCGGCGUGCUUAACACAUGCAAGUCGAACGGAAAGGCCCCUUUGGGGGUACUCGAGUGGCGCACGGGUGAGUAACACGUGAGUAACCUGCCCUUGACUUCGGGAUAACUUCAGGAAACUGGGGCUAAUACCGGAUAGGAAUCCUUGCUGCAUGGUGGGGGUUGGAAAGCUUCGGCGGUUUUGGAUGGACUCGCGGCUUAUCAGCUUGUUGGUGGGGUAGUGGCUUACCAAGGCUUUGACGGGUACCCGGCCUGAGAGGGCGACCGGCCACAUUGGGACUGAGGGACGGCCCAGACUCCUACGGGAGGGAGCAGGGGGGAAUAUUGCACGAUGGGCGGAAGCCUGAUGCAGCAACGCCGCGUGCGGGAUGACGGCCUUCGGGUUGUAAACCGCUUUCAGCAGGGGCGAAGCUUGUGGUGACGGUACCUGCAGAAGAAGCACCGGCUAACUACGUG